ACACACACACACACACACACACACACACACACACACACACACACACAAAGACAGACACGAGCUUUUGGCGUCGGCGUGUAGAUGUGUUUCUGGCGGGGGGCGGCAAAGCGGUGGGCUCCGUUUUCAACAGUUGCCAGUUCGGGACCGAAGGGGAGAGCGAGGGAAGAAUAACCGAACCACACGCGGAGCCUCACGCCGCUCCGCCGGCUCCCCGCUCUGAGAUGCAGUCGUUCAUCUCUCCGGUGACCAAGGCUAUCCUCGUGGCGCUUUUUAUCUUCGCCAUCCUCCUCAUCCUGUACGUGAUUCUUUGGUACAUUUGCAGAGACGUGGACUGUGAUCACGGCAUUUGAUCGCGGUUGUAACGUCGCGUUAUCAAAGGAAUAACAGAAGCGCCAGGACCCUUGUGCCAAGAUCCAGGGUCACCAAGGAGCCAGUAUGGGGUCUGAAAACAGUCGGACAGAUCCUUAAAGAGUGCAAAAGGGCCCACGGACCCCGUUCGGACGGUUCCUGGAUCUCCGAGUCCAUGGCCCUCUCUCCCUUCUCGCGAGGAGCCAAGGCAGGUUCAGCGCGGGCUUUGGGGGAUUGGGGGCGUGGCCGGCCCGCCUGGCCAGGUCAGGGCGAUGACAUCACUGCCCUCCGCCCGCCUCCUGAGCCUCGGAAAAGGCUGGCCGCAAAUAACACUGCGGUGCCUGACGGACAUGGGAGAAUAAACACAACCAGCCAGCGGAGCCAAAAGUAGACCGGAGAAGAAGAAGUAGAACGCCCCACAUGAUUCAUUCAUUCCAUCCAUGCCACUAAUAUCCCUCCCUGUUUUACAACUGGUCAGGGUUGUUGCUGCUCCAUAGCUCCUACAGCCAAACUAUCCAACAGCCCGCCUGUCCGGCCAUUACUAGAGGAUUGACGAACGGCCAAGUGAACAUGUUGUCGGUUUUGGUAGCUGUGUUUUUUUCCCCACACUGCGAGCAUGCACACACAUGCACACACACACA